UUGCUUUUCUUGACUUAGUGGCGAACGGGUGAGUAACGCGUGAGUAACCUGCCCUGGAGUGGGGGACAACAGUUGGAAACGACUGCUAAUACCGCAUGACGCAUAGGGAUCGCAUGAUUCUUAUGCCAAAGAUUUAUCGCUUCAAGAUGGCCUCGCGUCUGAUUAGCUAGUUGGCGGGGUAAUGGCCCACCAAGGCGAUGAUCAGUAGCCGGUCUGAGAGGAUGAACGGCCACAUUGGGACUGAGACACGGCCCAGACUCC
rnacentral:rRNA from 1 species